rnacentral:rRNA from 1 species
AACGAACGCUGGCGGCGCGCCUAAUACAUGCAAGUCGAGCGAGAAGACGUAGCAAUACGUUUGUAAAGCGGCGAACGGGUGAGGAAUACAUGGGUAACCUACCCUCGAGUGGGGAAUAACUAGCCGAAAGGUUAGCUAAUACCGCGUACGCUCCUUGGACUUCGGUUCAGGGAGGAAAGCGAUACCGUGGGUAUCGCGCUCUUGGAUGGGCUCAUGUCCUAUCAGCUUGUUGGUGAGGAACGGCUCACCAAGGCUUCGACGGGUAGCUGGUCUGAGAGGACGAUCAGCCACACUGGCACUGCGACACGGGCCAGACUCCUACGGGAGCAGCAGUAAGGAUAUUGCGCAAUGGGCGAAAGCCUGACGCAGCGACGCCGCGUGGGGGAUGAAGGUCUUCGGAUUGUAAACCCCUUUCGGGAGGGAAGAUGGAAUGGGGUAACCCAUUCGGACGGUACCUCCAGAAGCAGCCACGGCUAAC